rnacentral:rRNA from 1 species
ACGAACGCUGGCGGCGUGCCUAAUACAUGCAAGUCGAACGGUCUUUCUAUGGAAGCUUGCUUCCACUGAGAAGAUAGUGGCGAACGGGUGAGUAACACGUGGGUAACCUGCCCAUAAGAGGGGGAUAACAUCCGGAAACGGGUGCUAAUACCGCAUAGUUUUCUUGAUUGCAUGACUGAGAAAGGAAAGACGGCCUUUGUGCUGUCGCUUAUGGAUGGACCCGCGGCGUAUUAGUUAGUUGGUGAGGUAACGGCUCACCAAGACGAUGAUACGUAGCCGACCUGAGAGGGUGAUCGGCCACAUUGGGACUGAGACACGGCCCAAACUCCUACGGGAGGCAGCAGUAGGGAAUCUUCCGCAAUGGACGAAAGUCUGACGGAGCAACGCCGCGUGAGUGAAGAAAGGUUUUCGGAUCGUAAAACUCUGUUGUCAGAGAAGAACAAGUUGGAGAGUAACUGCUCCAGCCUUGACGGUAUCUGACCAGAAAGCCACGGCUAACUACGUGCCAGCAGCCGC